rnacentral:rRNA from 1 species
GAUGAACGCUAGCGGCAGGCUUAAUACAUGCAAGUCGAGGGGCAGCAUGACCGUAGCAAUACGGUUGAUGGCGACCGGCAAACGGGUGCGGAACACGUACACAACCUUCCUUCGAGCGGGGAAUAGCCCGGGGAAACCCGGAUUAAUACCCCAUAGUAUAUUGAAGAGGCAUCUCUUUACUAUUAAAGAUUUAUCACUUGAAGAUGGGUGUGCGGCUGAUUAGCUAGNGGCGGGUAACGGCCACCAAGGCAACGAUCAGUAACUGGUGUGAGAGCACGACCAGUCACACGGGCACUGAGACACGGGCCCGACUCCUACGGGAGCAGCAGUAAGGAAUNUUGGUCAAUGGACGCAAGUCUGAACCAGCCAUGCCGCGUGGAGGAUGAAGGUCCUC